GGGUGCUUAGCUCAGCUGGUUCAGAGCGUCUGCCUUACAAGCAGAGGGUCGGCGGUUCGAAUCCGUCAGCACCCACCU
rnacentral:tRNA from 1 species